rnacentral:lncRNA from 1 species
CUUCUUUAUCAAAUCUCAGCCAGUCACUGUCCUUGGGAAGAAAUAAAUUUUAGGUCUAAAAAUUAAGUAAUAAACAUAUCUGGCAGGUAAAAAUAUCUGGAUAAUUAAGUAGAAUUUUUCAUUUCUUCAUCAAGAUAAAUUGGGCCAUAGACAUAUGAAUGCACUGGCUCGACCCAGCUAACUGCUGAGAUAGGGAGCCCUUUAGCUCCCAAACUAGAUUUGCUUCCACAUCAUCCAUUCCACUAACCUGCCAGAGCUAUUGAUGAACAUAUAAGGCAAUGAUUCCCAAAGUGUGGUCCCUGGACCAGCAGCUUCAGCGCCAUCUGGGAACUUUUUGGAAAUACAGAUUUUCAGGUUCCAGCCAAGACCUGCAGACUUUUCAAAAACCCUGGACCUGGGGCUCAGUAGCCUCUAUUUACCAAGCCCUCCAGGAGAUUUUCAUGCAUCUUCAAGUUGAGAACCACUGAUUCUUAAUCUUUGCAGCAUAUUAGUAUCACUGGGGGGGGGGGGAUUUUUCUUAAAAAACUGACACCAGGAUUCUAUCCUCUAGAGAAUCUGAUCUAAUAGGUUUGGGGUGAAGCCACUGCACUGGUAUGGUUUAAAAGCUCCCCAGAUGAAUCUAAAGUGCAGCCCAGGUUAAGAAUUUGAUUUCAGGCUCUGAGUUCUCACAACAACCUCAGAAACAGGCUGCUGCUUCCAGUCUUUCCCUCCGAUCAGUUCUCCACCUGUCUCUCCACACCCACUCUCCCACCUCAGGAUUUACCUCUAAUCCAGUAGUUCUAGAACUUGACUGUGCCUCAGAAUCACAGUGCCAAGGGGAUUGUGGAAAACAGUUUGCUGGGCCUCAACUCCAAAGUCUCUGAUUCAGUAGAGCUGAGGCAGAGCCCCAGAAUUUACCUUUCUACUAAGUUCCCAGGUGAUGCUCAAGCUGCUGAUCAGACUUCUAACCCCUUGCUCUCUAGUCACUCUGGCCUUGGUGAGAAAAGAAAACUUAUGGCAGUAAUGAGCUUACCUUGCAGGACCUCCAGUCUGCAGAUCGCCAGCCCACUGCAUGGAGUUCACUGCCCUGGACCAGAAGGCAAGGAGGAGCUGAUCAUCCCUAUCUCCGAGUCACUUCCGCAACCUAUACAAUCCACCAUUGUGCUGAAGGGAGCCUGGGCUCCCCCUCCUAUUUCACACCCUCUCUGCCCUGCUGGACAAUAAGCGAAACCAAAGUAGCAACCAUGCUCUGAUCAUCAGUGAUCUCCACACCCAGCACAGCCCUAGCCCAUAUCAGAGGCUUCAUUAUUGAGUGAAUGAAUGAAGCAAUGAAGGAAGAGGAGGAAAGAAAUACUCAGUGAAUUCUACGUCAACUGAAGUCAACUCCUGCAGAACCCAACCAAGGACACCAAGAGAAAAGAGAUCAGAAGCAGGGUACAGGAAUUCCCAUCGUGGCUCAGUGGUUAAUGAACCCAACUAGUAUCCAUGAGGAUGUGGGUUCGAUCCCUGGCCUCAAUCAGUUGGUUAAGGAUCCGGCGUUGCUGUGAGCUGUAGUGUAGAUCACAGGCUCAGAUCAGAUCCCUCGUUGAUGUGGCUGUGGUGUAGGCCUGCAGCUACAGCUCCAAUUUGACCCCUAGCCUGGGAUACAUGCCUCCAGUGUGGCCCUAAAAAGACAGAGAAAAAAAAAAAGGCAAAUAAUGUGUCAGUACCGAGCCUCAUGAAAGUGUUUCAGAGAAAUCCCCACCCCACACCCAGGGUUUCUGGAACCACACUUUGAGAACUGCUGAAUUAAGAUAUAGAUCAUGUGGGAGUUCCUGCUGUGGCACAGUGGGUUAAGAAUCUAACUGCAGUGGCUUGGGUUACAGCUGAGGCUCAGAUUGUGUACAUGGCCUGGGAAUUUCCAUAUGCUGCAAACGUGGCCAAUAAAAAAAAUAUACAUCAUCUAUGGUUGCA